UACGAAUGGGGCUAGCGUUGCUCGGAAUCACUGGGCGUAAAGCGCACGUAGGCGGAUUGUUAAGUCAGGGGUGAAAUCCUGGAGCUCAACUCCAGAACUGCCUUUGAUACUGGCGAUCUCGAGUCCGGGAGAGGUGAGUGGAACUGCGAGUGUAGAGGUGAAAUUCGUAGAUAUUCGCAAGAACACCAGUGGCGAAGGCGGCUCACUGGCCCGGUACUGACGCUGAGGUGCGAAAGCGUGGGGAGCAAACAGG
rnacentral:rRNA from 1 species